UACGUAGGGUGCAAGCGUUAAUCGGAAUUACUGGGCGUAAAGCGUGCGCAGGCGGUUAUGUAAGACAGAUGUGAAAUCCCCGGGCUUAACCUGGGAACUGCAUUGGUGACUGCAUUGCUAGAGUAUGGCAGAGGGGGGUGGAAUUCCACGUGUAGCAGUGAAAUGCGUAGAGAUGUGGAGGAACACCGAUGGCGAAGGCAGCCCCCUGGGCCAAUACUGACGCUCAUGCACGAAAGCGUGGGGAGCAAACAGG
rnacentral:rRNA from 1 species